rnacentral:rRNA from 1 species
GACGAACGCUGGCGGCGUGCUUAACACAUGCAAGUCGAACGGUAAGGCUCCAGCUUGCUGGGGUACACGAGUGGCGAAUGGGUGAGUAACACGUGGGUGACCUGCCCUGCACUUCGGGAUAAGCCUGGGAAACUGGGUCUAAUACCGGAUAGGACCAUGGUGUGGAUACUGUGGUGGAAAGUUUUUUCGGUGUGGGAUGGGCCCGCGGCCUAUCAGCUUGUUGGUGGGGUAAUGGCCUACCAAGGCGGCGACGGGUAGCCGGCCUGAGAGGGUGGACGGCCACAUUGGGACUGAGACACGGCCCAGACUCCUACGGGAGGCAGCAGUGGGGAAUAUUGCACAAUGGGCGGAAGCCUGAUGCAGCGACGCCGCGUGGGGGAUGACGGCCUUCGGGUUGUAAACUCCUUUCACCAUCGACGAAGGGUUUCUGACGGUAGAUGGAGAAGAAGCACCGGCUAACUACGUG